UACGGAGGGUGCAAGCGUUAUCCGGAUUCACUGGGUUUAAAGGGUGCGUAGGCGGACAGGUAAGUCAGUGGUGAAAUCUCUGGGCUUAACCCAGAAACUGCCGUUGAUACUAUUUGUCUUGAAUAUCCUGGAGGUAGGCGGAAUAUGUCAUGUAGCGGUGAAAUGCUUAGAUAUGACAUAGAACACCGAUAGCGAAGGCAGCUUACUACAGGAUGACUGACGCUGAGGCACGAAAGCGUGUGGAGCAAACAGG
rnacentral:rRNA from 1 species